rnacentral:rRNA from 1 species
AUAGCGCUGACUGUGUGCCGGUUUCGCCCUUGGAGUUUGAUCCUGGCUCAGGACGAACGCUGGCGGCGUGCUUAACACAUGCAAGUCGAGCGGAAAGGCCCUUCGGGGUACUCGAGCGGCGAACGGGUGAGUAACACGUGAGUAACCUGCCCCAGACUUUGGGAUAACCCUCGGAAACGGGGGCUAAUACCGAAUAUGACUGCUGAUCGCAUGGUUGGUGGUGGAAAGUUUUUCGGUUUGGGAUGGACUCGCGGCCUAUCAGCUUGUUGGUGGGGUAAUGGCCUACCAAGGCGACGACGGGUAGCCGGCCUGAGAGGGCGACCGGCCACACUGGGACUGAGACACGGCCCAGACUCCUACGGGAGGCAGCAGUGGGGAAUAUUGCACAAUGGGCGGAAGCCUGAUGCAGCGACGCCGCGUGAGGGAUGACGGCCUUCGGGUUGUAAACCUCUUUCAGCAGGGACGAAGCGCAAGUGACGGUACCUGCAGAAGAAGCGCCGGCCAACUACGUGCCAGCAGCCGCGGUAAGACGUAGGGCGCGAGCGUUGUCCGGAUUUAUUGGGCGUAAAGAGCUCGUAGGCGGCUUGUCGCGUCGACUGUGAAAUUUCAGGGCUCAACUCUGACAUUGCAGUCGAUACGGGCAGGCUAGAGUUCGGUAGGGGAGACCGGAAUUCCUGGUGUAGCGGUGAAAUGCGCAGAUAUCAGGAGGAACACCGGUGGCGAAGGCGGGUCUCUGGGCCGAUACUGACGCUGAGGAGCGAAAGCGUGGGGAGCGAACAGGAUUAGAUACCCUGGUAGUCCACGCUGUAAACGUUGGGCGCUAGGUGUGGGGGACCUCUCCGGUCUUCUGCGCCGCAGCUAACGCAUUAAGCGCCCCCCCUGGGGAGUACGGCCGCAAGGCUAAA